GGCAGUAUGUAUGCUGCCACUAAUGACUUAUGAAUACGUGUCAUUGAUUUUAAAUUAUAUGUUUUGGGCAGCGAUUUGCUGGAGCAGCUAGUAUGCGGAGAAGGGUUGAGGUGAUUUCACAGACACUUUCCAAAGCAGAGAAGCUGCUUUUCAUCUGCAUUUGGCUUAGACAUUUUGUUUAAGGUGCCCCCAUCUCUAGAGAGCAGAACAACCAGGUUUGUACUAGCACUAAUGCGCCUCGGUCCUGGCCCUGCUGCUGUGACCUAUGGAGGUGUCAGGGUGGGAGAAGAUGACCUUGGUCACUCAUUUCCAGGUUGCCCACAGAUCUCCUUAUGUUAUUCACCCCAACGGCUGGAUUGCUCGCUGCCACCUUUGACAGCCCAUCAGCCUCUCCCAUAGCCAGAGCUAGUCAGAAAUGUUUUAGUCAAAACCGUUUUGGGGAAAACACUUACAAUUUGUGACAAGGAUUUUUUCCAGGAGUGUAUUAAUCCGAGUAAUGCCUUCAGUCCAAAGGUUUCUUAGGUACAGAAUUGCACUGAAUUAGGUUUUUGCCUUAACCCACAGAGGCGCUUCGUAACCCCCUGGGGCAGGAGGUCCGGCUGUUUCGGGUGCUCAGGUGGGGUGAGGGCAGGCUGGGUUCAGCGUCCUGCUGGCAAGGGCAAUUUGGGGGCAAUGGCACCGCUUUCCACUUCUCUCUGGAUUUUAUGCUAAGGAGUUCAUGAUUUAGAAUCCAGGAUUUAUUUAUUACAGCAGUGAGUAGAGCUGAGACCCAGGGGAAGCCCCUCUCAAGCAGCAGAUCCUUCCCUUCUGUGCUCUGCCACCACUGGACUGUCGUCACAACGUCGCUUUUUCUUUCUUUUUAAAUAUUUCUCAUCCAGGUAUAGAAAAGCCUUCUUUCUUUUAACCUUGAACAUUUUCCCAGGACAGUUUCUACACUAUUCUACUCCUAUAGGGGCAUUUAGUCCAUGGGACCAGGCUUGGGAUAAUCUGGAGUAAAAAACCCUCGGAGCUGUGGUUAGGGGGGAUGUCAGGUCCUCAGGAGCCUGUGCAGCAACUCUGCUCGUGGUCUGCGUUCUCUGGCAAUGCAGAUGUGGUCCUUCGGGAUGGGGGCAUCCCAAAGGCCAGGAGACGUGAUGGGAACAUGCAGUUGACUGUGGGAAUUGCUCCUCCCCUGAUUUGGUGUGUUUUGCGGUGCAAACCUCCAUUCCAAAGCAUGUGUUUAAACAGAAGAUGCUUACAUCUUUCUGCUGGGGGCUGGGAAGCACCAGCACUCGCUGGCAAGCGGCUCCAUCAGCAGAGAGACGUGCGGGGUGUUCCAGCAGGCUCCAGCCAUCGAACACGCAGGCACGUCCUCAGCCUUCACCAGCCGUCUGAGACUUUUGGCAAGGUUUGGCUCACCCCUUCGUGGCAUGUGUGAAAGUUUCAGGAUCCUUGUUCCUCUUCUCCUUCCACCCCCUUGCUCCCCCACCGCUGUGCAGACGGAUGCGCUCCCUCUAAUUCUCGCCUCCCCUUUCAAACAGUUGUGAUCUAUGGAUGCUCAGAGCCACAGCCACAUUAGUGGCGAAGACCCUGCAGCAAUAAGACUCGAGUUUGGUGGAACUUCUGUCCAUUUAAUUAAGAAGUGCUGCUCAUACAGAACUGAAUACACUCUCCUAAUUUACUGCUGUGUCUGUCUGUCUCUCUGUCCAGCCUUUUGUCUCUCUCGGCAUCCCAUACAAUGCUGUUGUAUCUUAUUACUCGAGCUAGGUGGAUUCUUGCUUGGCUGAGCCGAGAUCAAAAAGUAAUUUUUCUUUUUGCAACAGCCGAUUAGAAAUUCAUUUAUUUUCACAUUAGACAUUUGACCAAUAUCUCCCUCCCCCCACCAAACCGAUCCCCACCAACUUCAGCAAUUUAGCUCCAUUUGUAUAGUCUGCAUAAUGGAAGACAGUGAGCCCGUUAGAAAAAUGUGGCCCAGGGCAAAAAUUAAAUGCAGAAUCAUGUAUCAGAAAUGAGAUGUAUUUACCAUUGUUUUUGAAAAUUAAUGGUGCAUUUUUAGUUUUUAUAAUGUAAUUUAAUGAUGCAAUUCAUCUAAUAAAAAGACACAUUUUAACUCAGUCGUACAGACCUACUGGGGCAGGACAAAAUGUACCUUUCAGAUGUAAGAUUUUUAAAAAACGCUUUGGGCUCUUUUUAAUGCAGAAAAGAGAAACUCUUUGCGUGCUUUGGCUGACAGCUGGGGUAUCAGCAGGAGUCCAAUAAAAAGGACAUUUUUCUUUCUAAAUAUUGGUGUUUGUGCAGCAUACAAUAAUGUUAUAAAUGCAGCAGUGGGUUAGAAGUGCAGCGCUGCAGCUGAUUAUAGAAUGCCAUAUGGUGCUGGCAUGUUAAACUGAUACAGAUUGAACACGGACUGUAGCUUUAAAUGCUGUGGACCAGCAAUUGCGCUCAACUAGAAUAAAUACGCCAUACAGUGUCAAUACACGGAGCUGUUGUGUUCAGCAGCAAAAAGCAAACUAUUAUAUGAACUAAUAGCAGAAAAACCCACAAAAAGUCAGCACUGAGCACACGGUCCUUCCCGAGAGCAGAUCUCAGCUGGUCAGGGGUUGGGGGAAAGUCCUUCCCUGCAUUUCUUGGAGCACUAUUUGACUUUGGCAGCUCAGGAGCAAGGGCUGGAGGAGCCCUGGGUGCUCCAGGAGGGUGUUUUACCGGGUGCUGACAGGUUACAAAGAGCAGGUUCUGCUCCGGCUCAGUUGUAGGGAAAUGCCCGUGCCCCCGUUUUCUUUUUUGUGUGUGUGUUUAGAACAUUAAAUCCCUCUUUAUUGGUUUUGUAUCAUGAUUUGCGUUGCGAAGUUCUCAUAUUACAUGUGCUCUUGUAAAGUGAACACAGGUAGGUUUGCCUCAGAUUUUAAAAGCCUACUAAAAGGGCAUUUCUGUAACAGGGACAAGAUGGGUUAAAGGGGUCCCUGCUUCCCCACCACUGGUGCUACUGGCUCUGCUGGGACUGGGGUGAUGUUGAAAAUGGACCUGACCAGGACACAGAAAGUGCACACGCAUACGAAGCAACCUUGGAGAGAGUGCCUGAUCAGGAACAAGCCAUCAAGCCAAAGAUCAAAGCAUCCACAAUGUUUCUGGUGCCUUAUUGCAUGCUGAAACUCAACGUGUGGUCCAGAUCAGGAACCGAGAUGCAGAAAGACUGAAGGAUUUGAUGUGCGGACCUGUUGUGAGGCUGCUUCCCAGUGGAGAUGUUUCUUGGUGUACAAAUAGCACCAAUAGCAAAACUCCCUGGUGGGAUCCAGGAUAAACAACCUGGGGUCCCUGGACAUGUGGCAAUCUUUAAUUCAGUCUGCAUUAGAGGCACUGCGCUAGCCCUGGAGUCACUGCUGCCUUACAAAGAUGUGGGAAGAACAUCUUGACUUUCCUGGGCUCAAAUACUUGUACAUCCGUAGCAGUGGUCUGCUGCGUCCUCUGAAGUUUUCCUCUGCUCUGGGGAUGGUGCUGAACAGAGUCAGUGGUGCUCAGCUCACGGCUGGGAGACACUUGGGUUUUGUUUUCCCUUUUCUCUGCACAUGUCAGCAUUUCAGUCCUGAAAUCAGAGUGCUCUCUUAAAACCAACAGUGUGGGAAAUGGCCUGUCCUUCACCUUUUCCCUUCAGACUUGCUUUGCGGUGUUACUUCAGCCCCAAGGAGAGGACAGUUACUCAAGGCUGAAUUUGACUGUAACAUAGACUUGCCUUGUGGAUGAGGUGUCAGGAGCUUUGAACUUCUCCAGGGUGGAGGUUUCGGGUCUUCGUUCAGGGCUCAUCUCACUUGGUGCAGAGGCUGUGCCACGCGUCCUGCUCCGACCGUGCCGGUGCGAAUAGUUCCCAUAUGGCUGCACGGAGCAAAGCAGCAACUUCUGGCUGGAUUCAACUAUGCAAAGUCAAAAUGAUCUCCUGGUAGACCUAUUGCUAUUUCUGUCUUGUUGCCAGGCACUUCAUGCUUAAGCUUUCAUCAGAUCAAUUUUCUUCCUUUGAAAGAAAAGUAGCGGGUUAAGCUGUGUGUGAAGGAAAUGGAAAACACUCCUCUGCCUCUCCCCAAUGUGCUGUGCAGGUGUAGAGGGGUUAGAAAAAGUGAUAAAAGCCAUUAGUCAUCUGUGGAGUUAAAGGAGAGAUAGCAUCCAGCGCAAAGGUUGGUCUGGGUUCACUGUAAGCCUGUUAAGAUUGGUUCAGUCAUUGGAUGGAGGCUUGUAAAGGGUGGACAGGAAAGGGAAUGUUUGUACUGGGUGGAUUUUACACACUUGUGCUGUUUUCUAGAGCCUUGUGUCUCCUAUAUGGACUUUUCCUCCCCAGAUUCCCUGCUUCAAGGAGGUGAAGGAGGAGCAGAGAAAUGAGGACUCAUCUUUUUGCCUGUGGGGCUUCGCUGGGUCUCUUGGCUCUGGAGAGGGAAGAAGUCCAGCAUGGGCUCUGGAAACAGGACCAAACCCAGAAGGUGGGGCUCCCCCCAGCAAUGCUCCUGCAGGGUUUGGCCAGUUUGUGUCCACAGCUCUGCUUCCCCAGCCCAAAGUCCUCCCUGCCCAUAGGUCUCCAUUUCUCUCUCCUGACCGCUUACUGCUCUGAAACUCUCCAUGGAACAGAGCAGCUCAGAGACAACAGAGGCACCAGAUAAAUCAUUCCUCCCCCACUUCUCCCCCCUUUCUCCCAACCCAAAUGGCUAAAGUGUCUUUAUUAUUUAAAAAAUAAAUAAAUAAAUAAAUACAAACCGCCAAAAAAAGCCUCAGUGAGAGAGACAGACGCAAAGCAAAGGAAAAGGAGAGGUUUAGGCAGCAAGCCACAAAUAAGCACCAUCAAUCAUAGCGCAGUCAAAAAUGUACAUGUGUUGGUACCUGCUAGUUAUUGGCAGUACUCAAGAAGUCUCCUGAGUACAAUCUUCAGGGCUCCUUAGAUAAAUAAAUAAAUAAAAAUCCGUGUUCCUCUGAAAAACUGCUUGUCAGCACUGGAAUGGCAGGUGCGUUAACUCCCUAAGAACCAGAUUAUGCCCUGCACGGUGAAAAAAUGCGAACGCUGAGAAAUAAGAUGUCAUUCAGCUCCCAUAUCCUUUCAAGUUAUUUUGAUGCAAAGUAUUUUUAAAUAUAAAUACAGCCUGU